rnacentral:tRNA from 1 species
GAUCAAAUGGCCGAGAGGGUAGGCAAUGGUCUGCAAAACCAUGUACGGGGUUCGAAUCCCCCUUUGAUUU